rnacentral:lncRNA from 1 species
UCACGCAAGAGGACGUCGACAGACGAGACGACAAUGCUGCCACGUGAGGCGAGUUGCUGCAACAAUGCAAUAGAUGAACACGUCGCUGCCAUGUGAUGAGAUGGCGAAGACGCGGCAACUGUAGAAGAAUAACGGGAGAAACUAUCAAGGUGUUGACAGCUUUCUAUGUCACUGUAGCCCAUCUGGACCCUCGACGGGAUAGCAAGUCUCUUGAGGUAAUAACACGAAGAGGAUGAUGUCACAGGUGCUUCCUCCGAUGUCAGAACUAAGUUUGGAUCAACAGAAAGAUAUCUGGACGCAGAUAUUUUCUUCGUUAUUAAGCCAAGUGCCUUCGAAUAUCCGUCCCCUAGUGCAUGAUUGCUAACAUUUUGGUCGCGCGCAAGCGUCAGUGCCCACUCGGGACAUGAAAAGAUGUCAUUCUCGUAUGUUUGAAAAAAUGCCACUGCAGUUGGAAUUGCUAAAGACAAUAAUGACACAUAUGCUGCGACACCUGCGUGCAUCAUCACAUCGAUCAAACGUGGGUACGUAUAUUUGUCACUGGGAUGACAUCCUCCAUUCAUUUUACCGUGACUAACUCGAGUGUGCACGUGUGAACGACAGAUGUUACCACGUAAGUGUAUGUGAAAGGAGUGAAGAGAGGUGAUAUUCCUUGAUGAAACCAAUUUGGUCGCAAUAGGGGGAGUGGCUGUGCAUCUAUACUUCGACAUGGCGAAUCGGACACCAACAGCCAUGUUUUCUCCAAAUGUUGUUGACAGCGUUGCAAUACUGUGUAAACUCAGUUCGCAUCGCAUAACUGUCAUGCCCGUAAUGAAAAGAGGUUUGACGAACGUGACGUUUGUAAGAGCACGUGAAGUGUCACUGAAUUCUCGUUUUACCUCAUGGUACACUGCUUGCGUCGCUGCUAAUGCCGCAGACAUGCUCAUCGCAGCCGGGAGAAUUGCGCAUCCACAAACGCGGUGAUCCAUGAGACCUUCGAUCACCUCCGGCUUAUUACUCAGUGUAAAUAUAAUUUUGUCGUUUUGGCAUGUUGCCUCGCCGAGCACUGUAUGUACAGUCUUCCGAGGCCAUAUAAUCUGCCGGAAA